rnacentral:rRNA from 1 species
GAUUAACGCUGGCGGCGUGCAUAACACAUUCAAGUCGAACGAAGCACUUUAAACGGAGACUUCGGUCAAAGUUUUCUGUGACUUAGUGGCGGACGGGUGAGUAACACGUGAGGAACCUGCCUAUCAGAGAGGGAUACCGGUUUGGAAACGAACGUUAAUACCUCAUAACGUAACGAGAUCGCAUGAUAAUGUUACCAAAGAUUUAUCGCUGAUAGAUGGCCUCGCGUCUGAUUAGAUAGUUGGUGAGGUAACGGCUCACCAAGUCGACGAUCAGUAGCCGGACUGAGAGGUUGAACGGCCACAUUGGGACUGAGACACGGCCCAGACUCCUACGGGAGGCAGCAGUGGGGAAUAUUGCACAAUGGAGGAAACUCUGAUGCAGCGAUGCCGCGUGAGGGAAGAAGGUUUCGGAUUGUAAACCUCUGUCUUCAGGGACGAGUAAUGACGGUACCUGAGGAGGAAGCUCCGGCUAACUACGUGCC